GAUGAACGCUGGCGGCGUGCCUAAUACAUGCAAGUCGAACGAAACUUCUUUAUCACCGAGUGCUUGCGCUCACCGAUAAAGAGUUGAGUGGCGAACGGGUGAGUAACACGUGGGCAACCUGCCCAAAAGAGGGGGAUAACACUUGGAAACAGGUGCUAAUACCGCAUAACCAUAGUUACCGCAUGGUAACUAUGUAAAAGGUGGCUAUACUACCGCUUUUGGAUGGGCCCGCGGCGCAUUAGCUAGUUGGCAGGGUAAAGGCUUACCAAGGCAAUGAUGCGUAGCCGAAUUGAGAGGUUGAUCGGCCACAUUGGGACUGAGACACGGCCCAAACUCCUACGGGAGGCAGCAGUAGGGAAUCUUCCACAAUGGGCGAAAGCCUGAUGGAGCAACGCCGCGUGGGUGAAGAAGGUCUUCGGAUCGUAAGACCCUGUUGUUAGAGAAGAAAGUGCGUGAGAGUAACUGUUCACGUUUCGACGGUAUCUAACCAGAAAGCCACGGCUAACUACGUG
rnacentral:rRNA from 1 species